rnacentral:rRNA from 1 species
AGUGAACGCUGGCGGUAGGCCUAACACAUGCAAGUCGAACGGCAGCACAGUAAGAGCUUGCUCUUACGGGUGGCGAGUGGCGGACGGGUGAGGAAUACAUCGGAAUCUACUUUUUCGUGGGGGCUAACGUAGGGAAACUUACGCUAAUACCGCAUACGACCUACGGGUGAAAGCAGGGGAUCUUCGGACCUUGCGCGAUUGAAUGAGCCGAUGUCGGAUUAGCUAGUUGGCGGGGUAAAGGCCCACCAAGGCGACGAUCCGUAGCUGGUCUGAGAGGAUGAUCAGCCGCACUGGAACUGAGACAGGGCCCAGACUCCUAGGGGAGGACGCAGUGGGGAAUAUUGGACAAUGAGCGCAAGCCUAAUCCAGCCAUACCGCGUGGGUGAAGAAGGCUUUCGGGUUGUAAAGUCCUUUUGUUGGGAAAGAAGAGCAGCAGGUUAAUACCCCGCUGUUCUGACGGUACCCGAAGAAUAAGCACCGGCUAACUUCGUG